GUAAUUGGUUAAGGUAGUAUUUCUAAUCUGGGAUUAGUAUAUAAUUACUGUGGCAAAACCAUCGCCUUUAAAUUUAAAUCGAUGUUGUAGUGAUCAUUAUGUGCUUACUAAAUGUUUUUGAAUAAAACUUUGAAAGUAUCGAUUUAUAGGUAUAAUAUUUUCCUCUAAUAUAAAUUCAUUUAAAUUUAUUAUUACAUGAUUCAUUAUGAUUUUGGUUCCGGCGUUGGUUUAUGCUCUUCUUCUAAUCUGGGACUAGGAUUAAAUUACUAACACAAACUCAUCGCCUUGUGUCGCGAAUAAAUUGCAUUAAAUCGAUAUUGUAAUGAUAUGUGAUAGAGACACUAUGUGCUAACCAAAUGUUUUUGGAUAAAACUUUGAAAGUAUCGAUUUAUAAGAAUCGUUAUUUUCAUAUAAUUUAAUUUUUUUAUAUUUAUUACGACAUAAUUAGGUUCUGGUAUAGGUGAUGGCACUAUUUCUAAUCUGGGAUUAGUGUGUAGUUAUUGUUGCAUAACCAUCGCCGUGUGACGCGAAUAAAUUGCAUUAAAUCAAUGUUAUGUAAUUGUAUGUGAUAGAAACUGUGUGCUUACUAA